rnacentral:rRNA from 1 species
AUGGAGGACGUCCUGGACUCGGCGGUGGGGGCCCACUUCAGCGGCCUCCGCCGCGACUCGCGCCGCCUCUCCUCCUCCCUCCCCUCCUCGCCCUCCUCCGCCACCUGCAACGGCGCGGCCGACGCCUCCGCGGCCGCGCCCAGCGGGCUCGCGUCCCCCACGCCCAGGCAGCCGUUCGUCAUCGGGGUGUGCGGCGGAACGGCGUCGGGGAAGACGACGGUGUGCGACAUGAUCAUCCAGCAGCUCCACGACCACCGCGUCCUGCUCGUCAGCCAGGAUUCGUUCUACCGCGGUUUAACUGAGGAGGAAUCUGAACAUGUGGAAGAGUACAACUUUGAUCACCCUGAUGCAUUUGAUACUGAUCAGCUUCUGGAGUGCAUGGGAAAGCUAAAGAGUGGACAGUCUGUUAAUAUUCCUAUAUAUGAUUUCAAGAAUCAUCGACGAUGCUCUGAGAGCUUUAGAAAGGUCAAUGUAUCAGAUGUCAUCAUUCUGGAGGGCAUUUUGGUUUUUCAUGAUCAAAGGGUGCGUGACUUGAUGGACAUGAAAAUUUUCGUUGACACAGAUGCUGAUAUUAGGCUUGCCCGAAGAAUAAGGCGUGAUACAGUUGAAAGAGGUAGAGAUGUUCUCUCAGUGCUUGAGCAGUACGGGAGGUUUGUGAAGCCCGCCUUUGAUGAUUUUAUCCUGCCUUCCAAGAAGUAUGCUGAUGUGAUCAUACCACGAGGAGGAGAUAACCAUGUUGCCAUUGAUUUAAUUGCGCAACAUAUUCGUACAAAACUUGGACAACAUGACUUGUGCAAAUUAUAUCCAAAUGUUUGUGUAGUUCAGACAACUUUCCAGAUACGGGGAAUGCAUACCCUCAUUCGUGACCGGGAAAUUACGACUCCUGAUUUUGUCUUCUAUUCAGAUCGGCUGAUUCGUCUGGUAGUUGAGCAUGGUCUGGGGAAUUUGCCAUUUACAGAGAAGCAGGUCGUUACACCUACAGGAUCUAUUUAUUCAGGAGUUGACUUCUGCAAGAAGCUCUGUGGAGUGUCGAUUGUUCGAAGUGGUGAAAGCAUGGAGAAUGCUCUGCGUGCUUGUUGUAAGGGGAUAAAAAUAGGUAAAAUCCUAAUACAUCGUGUUGGAGACAACGGACAACAACUCAUAUACCACAAGCUGCCCGAGGAUAUUGCUCAACGUCAUGUUCUACUUAUGGAUCCUGUGCUCGGUACAGGUAACUCAGCAAAUCAAGCUAUACAGCUUCUUAGAAGUACAGGAGUUCCAGAGGACCACAUCAUGUUUCUUAAUCUUAUCUCGGCUCCUGAAGGAAUCCAUUGUGUCUGCAAGCGAUUCCCUGGUGUGAAGAUCGUAACAUCGGAGAUCGACGCCGGGUUGAACGAGGAAUACCGUGUCGUGCCAGGGCUGGGUGAAUACGGCGAUCGCUACUUCGGCACUGACUAA